rnacentral:rRNA from 1 species
ACUCCUACGGGAGGCAGCAGUGGGGAAUAUUGCACAAUGGGGGAAACCCUGAUGCAGCCAUGCCGCGUGUGUGAAGAAGGCCUUCGGUUGUAAAGCACUUUCAGUAGGGAGGAAGGUAGUGUAGUUAACACCUGCAUUAUUUGACGUUACCUACAGAAGAAGCACCGGCUAACUCCGUGCCAGCAGCCGCGGUAAUACGGAGGGGUGCGAGCGUUAAUCGGAAUUACUGGGCGUAAAGCGCAUGCAGGCGGCCUGUUAAGUCAGAUGUGAAAGCCCGGGGGCUUAACCUCGGAAUUGCAUUUGAAACUGGCAGGCUAGAGUCUUGUAGAGGGGGUAGAAUUUCAGGUGUAGCGGUGAAAUGCGUAGAGAUCUGAAGGAAUACCAGUGGCGAAGGCGGCCCCCUGGACAAAGACUGACGCUCAGAUGCGAAAGCGUGGGGAGCGAAACAGGAUUAGAUACCCUGGUAGCUAC